rnacentral:pre_miRNA from 1 species
UGUGUACUCCCUCCGUUCCAAAAUACUUGACUUCGAUUUGUCCAAAAAUGGAUGUACCUAUAUACUAAGACAUGUCUAGAUACAUAUAUAUUUUGACAAAUAGAAGGCAUGUAUUGUGCAACGGAGGGAGUAGAAU